AUGUGGGCUAAGUCCUUGGCCAUAUGUUUCUGCAUAUUGCAUACCAAAGAGCUACGUGGAGGUGACGGUGAAGACGGUGAGAAGUUUGGACAAAGGGAUGGAAAGGGAGAUGUAAGGAAGUUGCAUGAAGAGAAGUGCUCAUUGAACUACUCUAAGAUCAUACUGCUCACCUACCAAAUUAGCAAAGCUUCCAACAGCGAGCUGAGGAAGAAAGUCCGCUCCUGUAACACAGCUUCAGCAGAAACUUGCAGUAAGGCUUGGAAGGACUUUGGAAAGUCCAAGACAAAGGCGGGUUCCCGCUCUCAGAGAGCCAGUUUGCAGUUUCCUGUGGGCCAUAUUCAUUGACCUCUGAAAUCUCAGACGACCAGCCAUGGAUGCAUGGGUGCGACUGCCUCUGUGCACAGUGCAGACAUCCUGAAGAACAUCACUCCAGAGGUAUCUGAAUUGGCAGGAAACGCAUCAAAAAAUCUGAAGGUAAUGUGUAUUACUCCUCAUCACUUGCAACUGGCUAUUCGUGGAAAAGUGUUGGAUUAUCUCAUCAAGGCUACAGUUGCUGGUGGUGGUGUCAUUCCACACAUCCACAAAUCUCUGGGAAGAAAGGACAACAGAAGUCUGCCUAA